UUCUUCAGUAAAAAUUAUUCAAACAAACUAAUUAAUUAAAAGGAACUCGGCAAAAUUAGUUGCUUCGCCUGUUUAUCAAAAACAUGGCUCUCUGCUUAUGUAAAUAUAGAGAGUCGAGCCUGCCCAGUGAAUUUUCAACGGCCGCGGUACCCUGACCGUGCAAAGGUAGCAUAAUCAUUUGCCUUAUAAUUGAAGGCUAGUAUGAAUGGUUUGACGAGAGCAACGCUGUCUCUUUUUUAUUUUCAAGAACUUAACUUUUAGGUGAAGAGGCCUAAAUUUUAUUGAAGGACAAGAAGACCCUGUCGAGCUUAAAAGAUAUUAUAGAAGUGCAUAUAUUUUUAAAUAAAUUUUCUAUUCAGCUUUUUAGUUGGGGCGACUAAGGAACAAAAAGAGCUUCUUAUUAAUAAUAAACACUCAUGUUUAGAUCCGGCAAUAACCGAUCAAAGGAAUUAGUUACCGCAGGGAUAACAGCAUAAUCUCUCUUGAGAGACCUAAUCGAAAGAGGGGGUUGUGACCUCGAUGUUGGACUAGAAUAUCCUAAAGAUGCAGA
rnacentral:rRNA from 1 species